CGUAAUCCGGGUUGCGGACAGUGUCUGGUGGGUAGUUUGACUGGGGCGGUCUCCUCCUAAAGAGUAACGGAGGAGCACGAAGGUUGGCUAAUCCUGGUCGGACAUCAGGAGGUUAGUGCAAUGGCAUAAGCCAGCUUGACUGCGAGCGUGACGGCGCGAGCAGGUGCGAAAGCAGGUCAUAGUGAUCCGGUGGUUCUGAAUGGAAGGGCCAUCGCUCAACGGAUAAAAGGUACUCCGGGGAUAACAGGCUGAUACCGCCCAAGAGUUCAUAUCGACGGCGGUGUUUGGCACCUCGAUGUCGGCUCAUCACAUCCUGGGGCUGAAGUAGGUCCCAAGGGUAUGGCUGUUCGCCAUUUAAAGUGGUACGCGAGCUGGGUUUAGAACGUCGUGAGACAGUUCGGUCCCUAUCUGCCGUGGGCGCUGGAGAACUGAGGGGGGCUGCUCCUAGUACGAGAGGACCGGAGUGGACGCAUCACUGGUGUUCGGGUUGUCAUGCCAAUGGCACUGCCCGGUAGCUAAAUGCGGAAGAGAUAAGUGCUGAAAGCAUCUAAGCACGAAACUUGCCCCGAGAUGAGUUCUCCCUGACCCUUUAAGGGUCCUGAAGGAACGUUGAAGACGACGACGUUGAUAGGCCGGGUGUGUAAGCGCAGCGAUGCGUUGAGCUAACCGGUACUAAUGAACCGUGAGGCUUAACCUU
rnacentral:rRNA from 1 species